rnacentral:rRNA from 1 species
UAACACGUACUGUGCGAACGUUAUUCGGAAUCACUGGGCUUAAAGGGUGCGUAGGCGGCGAUUCAAGUCAGAUGUGAAAUGCCUGAGCUCAACUGAGGCAUUGCGUUUGAAACUGAAUUGCUAGAGUAUCCUAGGGGUGUGCGGAACUGCCAGUGGAACGGUGAAAUGUGUUGAUAUUGGCAGGAACACCGGAGGCGAAAGCGGCACACUGGGGGAUAACUGACGCUGAGGCACGAAAGCCAAGGGAGCGAACGGGAUUAGAUACCCCGGUAGUCUUGGCCGUAAACGAUGAGUACUGGGCGGGAGGGGGUUUCCCCUUUCUGCCGUAGCGAAAGCGUUAAGUACUCCGCCUGGGGAGUAUGGUCGCAAGGCUG